rnacentral:rRNA from 1 species
AAUAUUGCACAAUGGGCGCAAGCAGGAUGCAGCCAUGCGGAGUGUGUCAAUGAGGCUGUAGGGUUGUAAAGCACUUUCAAUACCGAGGAAAAGAUAAUUGUUAAUAGCCAUUAGCCGUGACGUUAAAUAUAGAAGAAGCACCGGCUAACUCCGCGCCAGCAGCCGUGGUAAUACGGAGGGUGCGAGUCUUUAUUGGAAUUAAUGGGUGUAAAGCGCGCGUUGGCGGUUUGGUCAAUUGGAUGUGAAAGCCCCGGGCUUAACCUGGGAACUGCAUUCAAUACUGCCAAACUUGGGUUCGAGAGAGGGGGGUAGAAUUUUUAGAUAGCGGUGAAAUGUAUAGAUAUUAGAAGGAAUCCCAGUGGCGAAGGCGGCCCCCUGGCUAGAUACCACGCAGAGGUGAGAAAGCGUGGGGCCCCCACAGGAUUAGAUACUCGUUACUCCACCCAAU